rnacentral:rRNA from 1 species
GUUUGGUUCUUGGUCAUUUAGAGGAAGUAAAAGUCGUAACAAGGUUUCCGUAGGUGAACCUGCGGAAGGAUCAUUACCAAGAACCACACAGAAAAGGGCAGCCGAGGGGCCAACCAGGGCUAGUAGCUUUACGUUGUUGAACGUCCUGGAACGGACCCGGAGCCGCCCCCAUCUAAACACUCUGCGUACCCAUCCCACCUUGCUUCCCCCGGCCAUCCGCUGGGGGGAGGAACAACAACCAAAACUCUUUGUGAAGAAACAGACGUCAGAAUCAUAACCAAAAAAAGUUAAAACUUUCAACAACGGAUCUCUUGGUUCCCACAUCGAUGAAGAACGCAGCGAAAUGCGAUAAGUAAUGUGAAUUGCAGAAUUCAGUGAAUCAUCGAAUCUUUGAACGCACAUUGCGCCCUCUGGUAUUCCGGGGGGCAUGCCUGUUCGAGCGUCAUAAAAACCUCCUCCCCCUUCGGGUUUGAUUACUAUCGUUGGGGGGUAUUGGCCUACUGGGAAAGCGAUUUGGCAAUUGCCUUCCCACUGUCCUAAAUACACUUAGACCCGCCUCCAGAUGCGACAGCACCGAGGCCAUCAACCGUGGAGUUAUGGAAUACCGUUCUCCACACGCCGAUGGCAAACCGGUCGCAGUUGCGGGCGUAAAUUGGAGCCCUCUUCAGGACCCUCGUGGCCUAGCAUCCACCAUACAUAUUUUGACCUCGGAUCAGGUAGGGAUACCCGCUGAACUUAAGCAUAUCAAUAAGCCGGAGGA